UCGCUGUGAUGACUUCUUAGGACACCUUUGGAUUCAAACAUGAAAACAAAUCAUUGAAAAUCUGAGCUGC